rnacentral:rRNA from 1 species
CGGGACGGGUGAGUAACGCGUGGGUAACCUGCCUCAUACAGGGGGAUAACAGUUAGAAAUGACUGCUAAUACCGCAUAAGACCACAGCACUGCAUGGUGCAGUGGUAAAAACUCCGGUGGUAUGAGAUGGACCCGCGUCUGAUUAGCCAGUUGGCAGGGUAACGGCCUACCAAAGCGACGAUCAGUAGCCGGCCUGAGAGGGUGAACGGCCACAUUGGGACUGAGACACGGCCCAAACUCCUACGGAAGGCAGCAG